rnacentral:rRNA from 1 species
GAUGAACGCUGGCGGCGCGCCUAAUACAUGCAAGUCGAGCGAACGGACGAGAAGCUUGCUUCUCUGAUGUUAGCGGCGGACGGGUGAGUAACACGUGGAUAACCUACCUAUAAGACUGGGAUAACUUCGGGAAACCGUAGCUAAUACCGGAUAAUAUUUUGAACCGCAUGGUUCAAAAGUGAAAGACGGUCUUGCUGUCACUUAUAGAUGGAUCCGCGCUGCAUUAGCUAGUUGGUAAGGUAACGGCUUACCAAGGCAACGAUGCAUAGCCGACCUGAGAGGGUGAUCGGCCACACUGGAACUGAGACACGGUCCAGACUCCUACGGGAGGCAGCAGUAGGGAAUCUUCCGCAAUGGGCGAAAGCCUGACGGAGCAACGCCGCGUGAGUGAUGAAGGUCUUCGGAUCGUAAAACUCUGUUAUUAGGGAAGAACAUAUGUGUAAGUAACUGUGCACAUCUUGACGGUACCUAAUCAGAAAGCCACGGCUAACUACGUG